GUGCACCAGGCGAGAAAACUUCACAAUGUGCGAAAGCACGAUGAGGGAAUCCCAAGUGCUUGCACGUAAGUGUAAGCUGUUUCUCUGUCUAAAACGCAGAGAGAGUAAGGGCUGGGUAAGACGGGUGCCAGCCGCCGCGGUAAUACCUGCAGCUCGAGUGGUGACCGUUAUUAUUGGGCCUAAAACGUCCGUAGCCGGUUUAAUAAAUGCCUGGGUAAAUCGGACCGCUUAACGGUUCGAAUUCCGGGUAGACUGUUAAACUUGAGACCGGGAGAAGUUAGAGGUACUCCUGGGGUAGAGGUGAAAUUCUGUAAUCCUAGGGGGACCACCAGUGGCGAGGGCGUCGUAACUAGAACGGGUCUGACGGUGAGGGACGAAGCCCUGGGGCGCAAACGGGGAUUAGAUACCCGCGUAGU
rnacentral:rRNA from 1 species